ACGCUCGACACCUACUGGAGGCAGCAGUUGGGAAUAUUGGACAAUGGAGGAAACUCUGAUCCAGUGACGCCGCGUGAAGGAAGAAGGUCUUCGGAUUGUAAACUUAUUUUGUCAGGGAAGAAAAAAUGACUGUACCUGAAGAAAAAGCACCGGCUAACUACGUGCAGCAGCCGCGGUAAUCUGAGGCGGGCUGGCGAAGGC
rnacentral:rRNA from 1 species